UCGUCCUAACACUAUAAAACCGAGUAGUCUUCCUUCUCGAUAAAUUUCCCAUAGUAGAUAGGCUCACUCGGACACUAGGAAGUUCUCAAAGGUAUGCCAAUCUGUGUUGUAUUUCCAUUUAUUCAUGUAAGCGGUCAUGAUUUAUGGUUUGGUUCUUCUGAUAAAAUUUUUGAGGAAUGUUAUGUAGACCUGAACUGAAGAGAAGGGACAUUUUAAUUCGUUGCCGAAUGUUUCUUCGAUUCUCAUGGCAGAUUCUUUUAUGAAUUUCACUAUAAUGUUAUGUUUCAUCCUCUCUUAAGUAAUAUUGAAGCAAACUCUUUCGUUUUUUUUGAUAUUCUUUAAUUUUUUGUAUUGCCUCUGAGGAUGAUCAAACUAAUAACUUUCGUUCUUCCGAGAUAUCCCAUGCGGAAAAAUAUUGGAGACCUGAACUGAAGAGGCUAAACUAAGUAACUGUGUUGAUUUUUUUUCUUCCCUUCACUAGGAUUCUUGGUUUUGUUGAAGUUUUUUAUUUAUUUAUUGAUAUUAUUAUAUGUUUGUGACUA